ACUUGGCGGAUACUGUACUUACGUUGAAACCCGACAUGUUGACAUCUAUGUAGGGCUGGUCUUCCUCAGUGCCUUUUGGUGCAAUCUGGUUCAGGAGGUGGAAGUAGGCCUUUGAGUCCUGGAGAAUAACAAAAAACCCCAAAACAAAACAGUUAUGUUGUUUUCAGUCAACACUAUGUCCCAGCAAAACACGUCAUUUAUUUAAGCUCUAAUUAGGUUUGCACACAAAGUACAUGUACAUUUUAUGUUUGGCACAUCACAUUAUCGCUGCAUCUUCAAACAUGGUUUGGAUGUUUACAUAAGGAAAAAUAAAACAGCACAUUUGACAUAUUGUCGCAUGUAUUUUGUGAGUUAAAAAAAAAUCUUUGAACGCUAAAUUUGAUAGUCUUCUCCAAAUGAAUUCCAAGUGCAGCAAGCCAUGCUUAAUUUACAGUAGUGUCUCCCCACACAUCUGCGAUUCAGCAUUCAUGGCCUUACAACUUUGCAGGUUUUUGUUAAAAAUAUUCAUUUAAUUUUCUUUUGUUUCUCCGGAAAUAUACCUCAGGUUUUUUGUUUAUUUCCAACUUCAGGCAAUUCUGAGGAUUCCCCAUAGGUAAUCCAAUUGUAAUUAGUAAAUCCAGGUCCUGGAACGUAACCCUUACGAAAAGCAGGCAUCUACUGUAGACUGAAGGCCACCUGUCGAGUCCAUAAUCAACCUUUCUUGGUUACGUAUUCAUUUGGCUCUCCUCCAAAACCAAUUCCAUCCUAUUUUGGGAGCAGUGCAGGCGGAUAUUGCAUGUUUGUGUGUGCAAACACUGUUUGGCCCAGUGUGCUGACAGGAAGAUGUCUGUAUUUGUGUGUUAAAGCCUGCCUUGAUGUCAGAGUUGAAGUUGUUGAUCUUUUGCCAGCCGGCAUUCUCCAGGUGGAAGUUAGCCCAGCGCAGCAACAGCUCUUCUGGAGACAACUUCAUCAAGUCCUCCAAGGUUUCACCGUCCCUCAGCAGUGCUGCCAGUGCUGUUGAAAACGACCGGCUUGGACUGACUACACCCACGAAUAAUGUCCAGUCAAUCACAGAAUGAUUGUGAACAGCACACCGAAAAAGUCAAGCAAUAUGAACCACUACGCUACGGAUGACCAGAGCUACAAGUGAAGGCACCUGUUUAAAAUGAAAACCCUGACGACACAGAAAGUGGACCAACCUGUUCGCUGGCACACGAGUAAGAGUGUGUGAGGGGCGGGGCAAGUCACGCCCUCCUCCUCCUCCUCCUGCUGCUGCUACUCGCAAGACAGUCUGGUUUGUCUUUACACAGAUAACAUUAAACAAGUGAUGUCUGUAUUUAAAACAAGAGAGGCGCUCACGUGGACAAGAGCAAUAACUAAAAACAUACAUGCCAUACAUUUAAAAAAGGCAAACCAGCCAUUUUAUUACACUAAAAUGGAAGCACUUUUUCCACUUGUGACUAAUCCGCGAUGCCAAUAAUUUGAAGAAAAUGUGGCGUUCUCUGACACCAUUGGACUUUUAGCAUUUUCUCAAAAAAGGGCAGCACCUCGUAAACCACUUAACAAAGUUUACACCAACAAAGCAAAGGACUACAUUUCACCACAUUUAUGAACAAAUUCUGAGAUAUGUCCAUGACGCAGGAUAUGGAAGUAGAGGGAGAGGCACAUGCACUCAGUCAAUCAUUUACUGGGAUAGUGCCAGCAUUGUACGAAAAAAACAGACAACACACAUCUGUUAUCAAAGGACUUUUCACACUUAAAAUGUGGAGCAGCUGUCACUUGGACGUCAAAAUGCUGUCCUUUAAAGGACGUGAUGUCCAUUGCAUAAUGGAUGCGUGACUACAAACGACGAAGUGCAAACGUUACCUCUGAAGUAUGCAUUUGUAAAGCUUCUUAGACUGUUACAAUGUUGGAUGACUAGGAUACAGUAAAAAAAAAUGAGGCUAAAGCUAGGCGGCUAGCAGGUUAACAGACAGGAAACUAUCCUUGUUUACUCUUGCUAAUCCAGCCGUCUUGACUGUAAGAUGCUAAAGCGUAAACGUCGUUAAUUCAAGUGCACACACCUCUGGAUGGUGAAGAAGUUGACAGGAAACUGGUAGGCUACUCACUCUCGGUGCGCCUGAAAUUCCAGACAGCGUCCAGCUCUCCGAAUUGCCUCCACCACGUCGAGUCAAAAGUAGUCUGGAGUCGGACUGCUGGGUCCGCCCUGACGUGGCGUCGCCGCCUGCCAUUGGACUGUUGAAUGGAGGAUGCUGUGGCCAUAAGUUUUUCUGCCCUUUCUCCGUAGACAUGCUUUCUAUCAUCAAAAACAACGCAAUGCAAAGUUAAUUAUCACCAGGUUAACGAUGCUAAAUGUCGCCUGAAAUCGUUCCUACCCGUUGCGCGUGGAUAACUUUAUCAAGUGCUCUUCAACACGACCACACAGGACCGCGAACAGGACCUCGAAUGCAGUUCUGACCUAUUUGCUCUGCCUUUAUAAUAUCCCCUUUAGAACAUCUCUUUUAAGUUCUCUGUAUACUGUACUCUUUUAUGUCGACGUCACAGACUGUCCUCUUUCAUGUCACGUCACCAAAGGCGCGUUUACAACUGAAAAUGAGCGUCCGCCAACCCAAUUUUUUCCCCAGUAUUUUAAAAUAAAUAAAUGUCAAAUUAACAGAAGCGCUCUUGUGGCCAGAUACAAACUGAAAUACAUAUUAAUAUCAGUUAUUCAUAAUUGUUCAUAGUUUUUGAAAUGAUCUUUUUGACCUUAAAGAUGCUGUCCCUCUUCAGCUCCAAGGUACACUUUUUUUAAACAAAAAAAUAUGAGAACACCACCGGCUAGUGCCAGUAGUGGUUUAAAUAACAGAUUGAACAAAUAAAUGUCUAUAUUUGUCACGAUUCAAAGUUCAAAUUUGUAAAAACGUUCAUUCGGGCCCGCAUAAAAUUAUUGGCGUUUCAGUCACCGCUGUCUUGUAUACAAGGACUAUACAGGUACAAGUCCGUAGUGCAUACACAUACAUAAAAGCGGUCUCAGAGAAGUGAGCAACAAUUUGGAUUCAUUGUGUGGUUAUGAUACCAGGGGUCUAUACCAGGGGUCGGCAACGUUUAGCAUCACAAGAGCCAUUUGGGCCUGUUUAAAACCCACUUGGAGAGAAUUUGACGACUAAAUUGUAGGUAACAUACAACAUAUACAGUAUAGUUUCCUUAAGAGUAUUGUCAUGUUCCUUUUUUGUCUUCCAGAAGCACACAAUGGCUUUCAUUAAAUCACACAAAUACAAAUUAUUAAUUACUUUCGGAUAAACUAUCUCAGGCACUGUGUGUUUUCA